rnacentral:rRNA from 1 species
AAAUACUACCCAGUGACCGAUAGCGUAUAGUACUGUGAAGGAAAGGUGAAAAGAACCCCGGGAGGGGAGUGAAAAGAACCUGAAACCUUAUGCUUACAAGCACCGAGAGCCCAUCAAAGGGUGAUCGGGUACCUUUUGUAGAAUGGUCCGGCGAGUGAAUGUAACUGGCAAGGUUAAGCACUUCAGGUGUGGAGCCGAAGCGAAAGCAAGUCUUAAUAGGGCGUCAAGUCAGUUGUAUUCGACCCGAAACCGUGUGACCUAGCCAUGAGCAGGCUGAAGUGGAGGUAAAACUCCAUGGAGGGCCGAACCCACUCCCGUUGAAAUGGUAGGGGAUGACUUGUGGCUAGCGGAGAAAUUCCAAUCGAACUCGGAGAUAGCUGGUUCUCUCCGAAAUAGCUUUAGGGCUAGCCUCGAUUUGACAUUACCGGAGGUAAAGCACUGAAUGGGCUAGGGGCCGAGAGGUUACUGAACCCUAUCAAACUAAGAAUGCCGGAUAAUGAUAAUCGGGAGUCAGACAGUGUGAGAUAAGUUUCAUUGUCAAAAGGGAAACAGCCCAGACCCACAGCUAAGGUCCCAAAGUACAGUUAAGUGGUGAAGGAUGUGGAAUUGCAUAGACAACCAGGAUGUUGGCUUAGAAGCAGCCACUCAUUAAAAGAGUGCGUAAUAGCUCACUGGUCGAGUGAUUCUGCGCCGAAAAUUUAACGGGGCUAAAUUGUACACCGAAGCUUGGGAUACAUCUAAUGUAUGGUAGGAGAGCGUUGUAUACGGGGUGAAGUCAGAGCGGAAGCGCUGGUGGACUGUAUACAAGUGAGAAUGCCGGAAUGAGUAGCGAGAAUUAUGUGAGAAUCAUAAUGGCCGAAAGACUAAGGUUUUAGAAGGAAGGUUCGUCCGCUUCUAGUCAGCCGGGAGCUAAGGCGAGGCCGAAAGGCGUAGUCGAUGCACAUACGGUGGAGAUUCCGUAGCCGCCAUUAAUUUAAACAGAGGGACACUUUCAAGGGGCAUGACCCGGGCGUUGGUAGACCCGGGCGUAAGGGACCGAAGAUUAGUAGGGAAGCAUGCUUUAAGGAAGGCGAGAAAAGCUCUGUGUAUAGAAGAUGGCGCCCGUACCGCAAACCGACACAGGUAGUCAGGAAGAGAAUUCUAAGGCCAACGGGAGAAGGGUAGUUAAGGAACUCGGCAAAUUGACCCCGUAACUUCGGAAUAAGGGGUGCUCACGAGAGUGAGCCGCAGUGAAUAGGUCCAGGCGACUGUUUAUCAAAAACACAGCUCUCUGCUAAAUCGAAAGAUGACGUAUAGGGGGUGACACCUGCCCGGUGCUGGAAGGUUAAGAGGAAGGGUGCAAGCUCUGAAUUGAAGCCCCAGUAAACGGCGGCCGUAACUAUAACGGUCCUAAGGUAGCGAAAUUCCUUGUCGGGUAAGUUCCGACCCGCACGAAUGGUGUAACGAUCUGGACACUGUCUCAACUACCCACCCGGCGAAAUUGUAGUACCGGUGAAGAUGCCGGUUACCCGCGGCAAGACGGAAAGACCCCAUGGAGCUUUACUGUAACCUGAUAUUGGGUUUCGGUAUUUUAUGUACAGGAUAGGUGGGAGACUAUGAAACUAAGGCGCCAGCCUUAGCGGAGUCGCCCUUGGGAUACCACUCUUAAAGUACUGAAAUUCUAACCUGCGGCCGUGAAUCCGGUCGGGGGACAUUGUCAGGCGGGCAGUUUGACUGGGGCGGUCGCCUCCAAAAGAGUAACGGAGGCGCUCAAAGGUUCGCUCAGCAUGGUCGGAAACCAUGCCUUAGAGUGUAAACGCAAAAGCGAGCCUAACUGCGAGGCUGACGGGCCGAGCAGUAACGAAAGUUGGAGUUAGUGAUCCGGCGGUAUGUGAAUGGAAAUGCCGUCGCUCAACGGAUAAAAGCUACCCUGGGGAUAACAGGCUGAUCUCCCCCAAGAGUCCACAUCGACGGGGA